rnacentral:rRNA from 1 species
AUUGAACGCUGGCGGCAGGCCUAACACAUGCAAGUCGAGCGGUUGAGGUAGCUUGCUACCGAAGCAGCGGCGAACGGGUGAGUAAUACAUGGGAAUCUGCCUGGUAGUGGGGGACAACGUUUCGAAAGGAACGCUAAUACCGCAUACGCCCUACGGGGAAAGGGUGGGAUCUUCGGACCUCUCGCUAUCAGAUGAGCCCAUGCCGGAUUAGCUAGUUGGGGGGGUAAAGGCCCACCAAGGCGACGAUCCGUAGCUGGUCUGAGAGGAUGAUCAGCCACACUGGAACUGAGACACGGUCCAGACUCCUACGGGAGGCAGCAGUGGGGAAUAUUGGACAAUGGGGGCAACCCUGAUCCAGCCAUGCCGCGUGUGUGAAGAAGGCCUUAGGGUUGUAAAGCACUUUCAGUGGGGAGAAAGGUGAUUCACCUAAUACGUGAGUCAAUUGAUGCUACCCACAGAAGAAGCACCGGCUAACUCCGUGCCAGCAGCCGCGGUAACAC